rnacentral:rRNA from 1 species
AUUGAACGCUGGCGGCAGGCUUAACACAUGCAAGUCGAGCGGAGAGAGGUAGCUUGCUACCGAUCUUAGCGGCGGACGGGUGAGUAAUGCUUAGGAAUCUGCCUAUUAGUGGGGGACAACAUUUCGAAAGGAAUGCUAAUACCGCAUGCGUCCUACGGGAGAAAGCAGGGGAUCUUCGGACCUUGCGCUAAUAGAUGAGCCUAAGUCGGAUUAGCUAGUUGGUGGGGUAAAGGCCUACCAAGGCGACGAUCUGUAGCGGGUCUGAGAGGAUGGUCCGCCACACCGGGACUGAGACACGGCCCAGACUCCUACGGGAGGCAGCAGUGGGGAAUAUUGGACAAUGGGCGCAAGCCUGAUCCAGCCAUGCCGCGUGUGUGAAGAAGGCCUUAUGGUUGUAAAGCACUUUAAGCGAGGAGGAGGCUACUUUAGUUAAUACCUAGAGAUAGUGGACGUUACUCGCAGAAUAAGCACCGGCUAACUCUGUGCCAGCCGCCGCAGUAAAAC